CGUAGGGGCAAGCGUUAUCCGGAUUUACUGGGGUGUAAAGGGAGCGUAGACGGCACGGCAAGCCAGAUGUGAAAGCCCGGGGCUCAACCCCGGGACUGCAUUUGGAACUGCUGAGCUAGAGUGUCGGAGAGGCAAGUGGAAUUCCUAGUGUAGCGGUGAAAUGCGUAGAUAUUAGGAGGAACACCAGUGGCGAAGGCGGCUUGCUGGACGAUGACUGACGUUGAGGCUCGAAAGCGUGGGGGAGCAAACAGGAUU
rnacentral:rRNA from 1 species